UUUAUUAAAUUCACAAAAACAAGUCUGAAAAAAAUAGAAAAAAAGUGUAGUAGAAAUAGAAAGCUAUACGCACACAAUGCGGUGAAUAGAUGCGGUAUUUUCUGCAUGUGGGCGACUAAAAGUAUGCGAAGCCAAAAUAUUUCCAUCGCCAACAAAUCAACAAAACGCGGUACAAAGUGACCAGUGAGGCGUGAGAAAUAUGUGUGCGAUGUUCAAUCGAAAAUCAAACACAAAUGGGGGCUUAUGGAUGGAAAAUGCACCGCCGGAAAGGAUAGAAGCAGCUUUCUCCCAACAUAUUUUCCUAAAUUAGUGAAGUUUUUUAAAAUGCAUUUAUAACAGUACUUUUGAAAAUAUUUCUUUUCAAUUCUAACAUAUUCUACAUGUAAGUCUAUAUAAAAGCCCAAAAAUCCACAUCUGCACCACAUUCAAUGGGAAAAGCAAGCACACAUGAAGGUGGAAAAGAGACGGACUGUGCGUGACAGAGAUAGACAGUGAGCGAUCAGAAUUUUGGUGGCCGUGGAAAUUGCGUGCGAAAACGCGGUCAACCCAAAAGCGGGCAAUAGUAUUUGACAGUUUUUAUUGGCAAUGGUCAAGGGAAAACGAUGAAAAGCUCUAUGGAAGGGAAAAUUGCGAAAAAACAUGGAAUGGCAGCGGGGUGUGUGUAUGUGUGUGCGUAAACGAAAUUUUUUUUGUGAGCAUUUUUCAUUGAACUUUCAUUUCUGCAUUCCGCCUCUCCAUCCCUUUGUUUCAAAGUUCGUUGUCAGCUGUCGGUCACUUGGCAGUUAAUUAAAAACCAUCAAUUAUGUGAGCCAGCAAAAAUGGCCAACGCAAAAAAGAGUGUUCAAAAAGCUGACAAAAAAGUUGCUGAACAUUUUUUAAUUUAUGUUAAUUUCAGACAGGAAGCUUCAACCCGCUUACACUUUCGGGGCGGCUUCUUUUAAUUACACCCAUGAUAUUAAUCUGCUUAAGUGACCACAAAAAUGUUGCUCCUCACACUCACAAGGGAAGGGAAUGGAAGGGUAGGGGCCAGUUGGCUGAGCAGAAUGCCACGUUUAAUUGGGGGACCUCGUAGCGUUUAUUGUUAACAAGUUGGAAAAAAAAGCAGAAAGUGCAAAAAAAGUUUCGCUGGCACUGUGAGACUUCCUGCCAGCCAAACUCCUCCUUCAGAAGCCCCCACCAUCUGCUUUUUCAGAGAUGUGUAAUUACGCUUGUACAACAUGGCGUAUGCUUAAUAAUUUUCGGCACUCUUUCCUCUGCGUGUGCUUUACUAAUUUUUUUCUUUUCCCUUUUUUUUUAGUGGGUUGCUGAUGGAUAAGUACGCUCAAUGGCGGUAAUGAGGAAAAUUAUAGUUUUUCGUAACUGCUGUAGGAUGGGGAAUAUCUGCUUUUCCUGUUUGACUAAUGCUAUUUCUCAACAGCAUGUUUAGACCCAUUCUGGGCAUUUUGGGCCGAAACUGCCUGCGAGGGCUUUUCAAUUUCAGAUAAGCCCUUUGGUUGCGACCGCCCGCAUUGCGCCUAAAACAAAUUCGAUGCAAAUUCAAGUUGGACGCCAUCCAAUGUUUGCCGCAUUAUAGACAGACGACUAUGGACGGCGACUCCCCGGCAAACAGCGAAAUUGCAAUUCAAUUCAAUAUUCCAAACUAGGCAGAGAGAAAUGUGGCUUGUUUCGUGAUUUGGCACUUUAACCUCGCAACAGUAGCAACAAAAUUUUAAAUAAAACCCCCAAAACGAAAACAACUGACAAAAAAGUUUGGCUAGAACCCACAGCGGAAGCGAUAUAAUAGAAAAAGAUGGCAGGAAUAAUUUUCCUCCUUGUUUCCUCUUUUUUUUUAUGGUUUACCGCCAAAGUGUUUGGGUGGGGUAUGUGUGCGGUAUUCAGGGCCUAGAAAUCGAAAAAAGUAUUUCUAGAAAAGACAGUUGUCGUCUCAGCGUAACAACAAACGGAAGGUGGCAAUUUAAUAAAAUGCUUGAGUGAGUCGCCGAGUUUUGUUUCCUGCUUGGAUUUGGCUCACGCUUCUUUCCUCUUCGUACUACAAUUUUGCCUUUUUUUGGCCAAAAGUUCUUUUCGCAAAAGUGUUGCAUACUUUUUGGCAGGCGGAAAUCGCUAAAGAGGACAACCCUCAGAUUGGUUUACUUUUCUCCUUUGCCAUAGGUUUUGUUAUUCUCGAUUCUUCGACUGCCUUGUAUAAUGGCUUCUAAAAUGUCUUUUGCAGUGUGCUUUAGUCAAAGGCUUAAAGUAUCGUGGGAAUCGAAGCAGCCGUCGAACAGCAAAAUAACACGGAAUAUAUAUUGGUGCCGUAAAUACUUUUCCGGGAAGUGUUCUAUAUUGAUUAUAGGUUUCUCAUGAACGAAGUUAAAAGUUUUAGUCCGUGGUAUUCAUUCCUACCUAACAUCGUGCGCUGCUUUUAAUCAGUUUAGGAAUUUAUAUCUCGAACCUCAAGAUUUCCCCCGUUCGCACAAAGCUUCCUCCUCGCUCAAAAGUAAUACUCCGUAUUAAAGCGAGUCAAACAAUCAAACGAAUUAUCCCCAACGAUUUGUUUACCUUUGAUCUUUCAUCACAAAUUCAAUCAACGAUUGCAGCUUGCACAUAAAAUCCUCGCACCCACAGAAAGUGCUUUCCUGCAAAAAUCCCCUCAACCAUAAAUACCGAACAAAUGUCUUCUCAUUUCCACCUAAAUUGAAGCAAAGGGAAAAGGAAAAAUUGCAUUCAAAUUUUAUGACACUCUGCGACUGCGGAGCUUUUCCUCUCUGACCCUGGGCCGAAAACCCUCAACGAAAAAGGAGGAAACCCAGAAGGACAUAAAUACCUCAAGGAAGUGGAAAAAAGGAGGGGAAACAAAGGGAAUAUUGUCUAAGGGGAAAAAGUGCAUAAUAACAGCGAUUUGCAUUACGUUAAGUAAAAAAAAGGUUGGCAAACGAGACAACAGCAAAAUGUGCAAGCAAAUCAAAUGAGUAAGCAAAAGUGGAAAGCGGGGGGGAAAGUGGGAAAAGGGGGAAGGUGAGAAAAGCUGCAACGUGGUAAUCAGAGCAAUUUACAUGCAAGCAAACUUCAAACAGACAACGAGGAAAA